rnacentral:lncRNA from 1 species
CUAAGACCACUUUGAAUCAUCUCAUACUAUAUCUGUUCUCGCAGUGUGUGCAUCACCACAUCUUAGCAUCAUCCAGCAGAGGCUCAAGAAAUGCGAUUACAUGUCUGCCCCAGGCUGUUUGUUCUCUCACCUCUGUUUCUACAAGCACAUUGCACUGAAACCAGAAGCAGGACAGGCAGAGUGCUUUUCUGUGUGCUCUCUCCAUGCACGGAGCAGAGCUGACGCCCAGCUGAGAUCCCUCACCUCCUCUCUGCUGAUGUCAUUAUUUUCCAUGUUGCUUGUUGUGCCCAGAAGUGAGGAAGCCCCUGGAACACAGCAGCCUAUGUAGGAGCUGUAGCUGCACUGACCUCCAGCAACUCUAGCAGCAGACUUUAAAAGGAAGCCUAGUGGGCUGCAAUAACAUAAAAGCCAUCGGGCGGCAAUUUGACAUUAGCAGAGCUCCUCACAAAGCACACAGCUCCAGCUGCUGUCCCAGCCCCCUCUCCCUGCCUCCAAUUCCGAGACCAUGAAAUUACUCAUUAAGCUUGGAACAAAUGCUUUUCGGUCCACUUGUAUGUGGCUGGGGGCAGACACAGAUGUUGUUCUGCAAAAAAAUUGCAGAGAGCCAGAGAUGAAACGCUUCCAAAGCUGCACUACUGCCUCCUAACUGCGUGCUCUCACAGCUUCUAUUGCACUCUGUAGUUUACCCAGAGGUCAGAAAAGAGAGUGACAGCAUCACAGCUCUAGUGAGCCUUUGCUUCCAUUAAAUGACCCAGGAUUUUUUGUUUUGCUUAGAAUUUAGCAUGGGCCUGAUGGCAUGACAUUAGAGUGGCUCACAGCUGUGCCUCUGCCAGUAGAUUUCAGCACCUCAGGCUGAUGGUUUUAAAAUCCUGCAUUUCGGCUGCACUUUUUCUCCUGAAAAAAACAGGGAAGAUAUUGCAUUCAGGAUCCAGGCAGUCCCUUGGAGACCCAGGAAGCAGAGGAUCUUCCCUAUUUUUACAAACGGGAAAGAGUUACAAUGAAAAUACUGCCUGCAGCCAUGUCAGCAAGGGGAUCAGGAUACAUGAUGCAGUUGUUCCCACCUCCCAUAGUCAAAGACCCACUCAGCUAACCGUUACACCUGGACCAGGUAGGGUCAGAACCACAGCUCCAUCGCACAACGCUGUUACCAAAUGCAAGAAAGACAACUUUCUGCCCCUUUGAUCCUUCCCUGCUACACUCACUUUCCUGCACGCUGUAGAAGUUUUAAGAGAAUACAGUUCUUGUGUUCUGGGUUUUAAAAGUCCAGCCUGAACCUUGCCAGUAAGGAGACAAUUCAAAGCAAGGCCAAGACUACCACUGUGACCUGAUGCUCACUGCAAGAUAAGGGUUGUCACACCAGUAAUCUCCCAGCUACUGCUCAAACUUGAGACUCGCACGCACUUAAGAGUUCGAUCACAGUGGACUCAUACAGACCUGCGUCAGCAAAGCAUCAUAGAAAUAACCAAUUUCUCCCCCAAACAGUAUUUUUAUAAGAUAUCUUUCAGGCAUAAAUGAUAUUGAGCAGGUAUUUUUUUGCUUCUCAUGCAUUCUGACAGGGUAAAAGUGAGCCCAGUUCUCUGCAGCUGGAAGGAGAAUAUAGCAAGUCAGAAGAUGUACUGAACUUGUGUCAAUAAGCUCUGCGUAAACGGCAGGGAUCAUUAGGAGCAACCUGAUCAUCAGGAACGACCCCAGCAACUGCACUAAUUGAGUAUAAGCUUCAUUUUCAAAGCUACACAGAGCCUUAAACUCGUUUAUCUUUUCAAGAGAUUUAAAGGCCUAGGAGCUUUGGAAAGUGAGAUCGAUAGAAGAGAGAAGUUCAAAAUCACCAAUUGUAAUUUCCACCUGCUUUUAACAGAUUGAACUGUUGUCAACCCCAGGCAGCAGCAUCUUGCCAUACAGGGCUUGCUCACUUGCGCGCUCUCUCACAUUCCCUGGCUUCCCUGAGAUUUCUCCCCCUGCCAAAACCAAAACAAAACAUCUUCCAUUUCUCUAACACGUGAUUUGCUCCCAAUCCCAUAAAAUUGGAUUCUUCCUGAGCGUGAAGACAGAAGAGAUUACUGUGAUAUAGGGUGCUUCCUGAACUAGGAGCUGAAACACUUCAUUCUGCAUUGUCUGAAAGGCAACACAGGACGAGCAGAGUCUGGGAAGACAGGAAAAAUGGAAUUAUAGGCUUGUGAAAUGGACACUGACAAAAAAAUGAAGUGUUGAGCUCACUCAGAUGCCGUCUGUGUUUAAUCCAGCCAUCAGACAGUCUCUGUUUAACUAAAUAUUUGACUUCAGAAUUGGGCCUGAAUUAUUACUGGCACAGCUUUCAAGCUCCACAGGUUCCUCUAACAAGCUGUUCCUCUGUGGAAGCCUUGCGAGGAGAUGAAUGCAGUCUUUGAGGAAGCUGCUGGAUCUCUUCUGAGGCUUCCAGAGUGGGUUUGUGGAGCCCCACUGGUUUCCCGGGUUUCUGAAGGCUCCGUAUGACUGACUAUUUGAAGCUACAGGGCUGAUGUUUGUGUGCGUUGCUGGGAUGUUCUCAGAAGAUUUUUGGCUCUGCAACAUGUCACAGCAACAGAGUGGUAUCAAAGAAAACACCAAAAAUAACUUAGUCCACAGGAAAACUAAAAGCUUGUCCCCAGACAAAUAACAAAUAAGAUGGAGUCAUACGUGAGGCCAUAUCGCUAGGGAUCUAACUUGUAUUCCAUCCUAGUGGGACAUAUCUGAAUUUGCAGUUUGCAAGCCAGGACACAGAGUUGAUACAGUUAGUCCCUUUCACACCCAAAGCUGAGACAUAAAGCAGCACAAACAUACAAUUCCCAGUGGCAUAAAUGACAGACAUAUUCCACGGUGCCCAAAGGGACUAUUCUAGGUGUUGCCACUGAUCCUACAGAGCCCAUGGUUGCUAUCUCAGCACCUUGUGCUGUUUGUCACCAGUCAUGUAAAUAUGGUCCAUUAAUGGAGAAGGGGAAAUGUGGUCAUGCACUCUCCCAUGAAACAUUCAACUUCUCGACUGUGGCAGCAUAUACCAGACAAGAUGAGCCUCCAAGGCUGGAGGCUUUCCCUGAGCCAGGCUCCCCCACUGUGGGCACCUCUAGGGAAGCAGAGGCUUCGCUUCCUAACCUACCAUCAGCUGUAGGCAGAAGGAGUCACCUUCCAAUUUUGCUUCUAAAGGAAGAUUAUAAAUUAAAGUCCAAUUUGCUAAACCUUUAGGUAAGCAACUUUUUCUGCAUGAACAUAUACUGGUUUGUGGGCAGCACUAUAUGGUUAGCUGCAAGUCUAACUGACUUUAAAAAUCGCUGUGCAUACAACUAAACUAGAUGGCAAAUAGAGGCACAUUUUCAGAAGUCAUGGUUUUAAGCAGCCUGACUGAUGAUUUUUGAAAGCUGGAGAUUGAAAAUAAUGAUUAUCCCAAACUAACAUGUAAAAAUUGUGCAUGCAAAUUAAGAGCACAAAAUGCUGUCAGGUAGCUUGACUUCUAAGUAAGAAAGAGCAUGUAGAUGGCUUAGAUAAAAUUAUUCUUCAUGUGAAAUAAAGUCCAAGACUUUAACA